ACCUUCGGGCCUCUUGCCAUCAGAUGUGCCCAGAUGGGAUUAGCUUGUUGGUGAGGUAACGGCUCACCAAGGCGACGAUCCCUAGCUGGUCUGAGAGGAUGACCAGCCACACUGGAACUGAGACACGGUCCAGACUCCUACGGGAGGCAGCAGUGGGGAAUAUUGCACAAUGGGCGCAAGCCUGAUGCAGCCAUGCCGCGUGUAUGAAGAAGGCCUUCGGGUUGUAAAGUACUUUCAGCGGGGAGGAAGGUGUUGUGGUUAAUAACCGCAGCAAUUGACGUUACCCGCAGAAGAAGCACCGGCUAACUCCGUGCCAGCAGCCGCGGUAAUACGGAGGGUGCAAGCGUUAAUCGGAAUUACUGGGCGUAAAGCGCACGCAGGCGGUCUGUCAAGUCGGAUGUGAAAUCCCCGGGCUCAACCUGGGAACUGCAUUCGAAACUGGCAGGCUUGAGUCUUGUAG
rnacentral:rRNA from 1 species